AACGAACGCUGGCGGCAGGCCUAACACAUGCAAGUCGAACGCUCUAGCAAUAGGGAGUGGCGCACGGGUGAGUAACGCGUAGGAAUCUACCCAUUAGCCUGGGAUAACAGCGGGAAACUGCUGCUAAUACCGGAUACGCCCCUUCGGGGGGAAAGGUUUACUACUAAUGGAUGAGCAUGCGUUAGAUUAGCUAGUUGGUGAGGUAAUGGCUCACCAAGGCUCCGAUCUAUAGCCGGUCUGAGAGGACGAUCGGCCACACUGGGACUGAGACACGGCCCAGACUCCUACGGGAGGCAGCAGUGGGGAAUAUUGGGCAAUGGGCGCAAGCCUGACCCAGCCAUGCCGCGUGAGUGAUGAAGGCCUUAGGGUUGUAGAGCUCUUUUAGUAGUGAAGAUGAUGACAGUAGCUACAGAAAAAGCCCCGGCUAACUUCGUGCCAGCCGCCGCAGUAAGAC
rnacentral:rRNA from 1 species